rnacentral:rRNA from 1 species
GGGCCCGCACAAGCGGUGGAGCAUGUGGUUUAAUUCGAUGAUACGCGAGGAACCUUACCAGGGCUUAAAUGGGAAAUGACAGGGGCAGAGACGCCCCCUUCUUCGGACAUUUUUCAAGGUGCUGCAUGGUUGUCGUCAGCUCGUGCCGUGAGGUGUCAGGUUAAGUCCUAUAACGAGCGCAACCCCUACCGUUAGUUGCCAGCGUGUAAUGACGGGGACUCUAAAGAAACUGCCCGCGCAAGCGGUGAGGAAGGUGGGGAUGACGUCAAAUCAUCACGGCCCUUACGUCUUGGGCUACACACGUGCUACAAUGGUAGGUACAGAGGGAAGCCACCCCGCGAGGGGGAGCGGAUCUACAAAACCUAUCUCAGUUCGGAUCGGAGUCUGCAACUCGACUCCGUG